rnacentral:rRNA from 1 species
UACGGGAGGCAGCAGUGGGGAAUAUUGCACAAUGGGCGCAAGCCUGAUGCAGCCAUGCCGCGUGUAUGAAAAAGGCCUUCGGGUUGUAAAGUACUUUCAGUCGUGAGGAAGGUGUUAAGGUUAAUAACCUUAGCAAUUGACGUUAGCGACAGAAGAAGCACCGGCUAACUCCGUGCCAGCAGCCGCGGUAAUACGGAGGGUGCGAGCGUUAAUCGGAAUUACUGGGCGUAAAGGGCACGCAGGCGGUUAAUUAAGUUGGAUGUGAAAUCCCCGGGCUUAACCUGGGAAUGGCAUUCAAGACUGGUUAGCUAGAGUCUUGUGAGGGGGUAGAAUUCCAUGUGUAGCGGUGAAAUGCGUAGAGAUGUGGAGGAAUACCGGUGGCGAAGGCGGCCCCUGGACAAAGACUGACGCUCAUGUGCGAAAGCGUGGGGAGCAAACAGGGAUUAGAUACC